rnacentral:rRNA from 1 species
AGUGAACGCUGGCGGUAGGCCUAACACAUGCAAGUCGAACGGCAGCACAGUAAGAGCUUGCUCUUACGGGUGGCGAGUGGCGGACGGGUGAGGAAUACAUCGGAAUCUACUUUUUCGUGGGGGAUAACGUAGGGAAACUUACGCUAAUACCGCAUACGACCUACGGGUGAAAGCAGGGGAUCUUCGGACCUUGCGCGAUUGAAUGAGCCGAUGUCGGAUUAGCUAGUUGGCGGGGUAAAGGCCCACCAAGGCGACGAUCCGUAGCUGGUCUGAGAGGAUGAUCAGCCACACUGGAACUGGGACACGGUCAAGACUCCUACGGGAGGCAGCAGUGGGGAAUAUUGGACAAUGGGGGCAAGCAUGAUCCAGCCAUACCGCGUGGGUGAAGAAGGCCUUCGGGUUGUAAAGCCCUUUUGUUGGGAAAGAAAAGCAGCAGGUUAAUACCCCGCUGUUCUGACGGUACCCAAAGAAUAAGCACCGGCUAACUUCGUG